GCACUUUACAGGUUACAUUACAGUAGAGGGAGGUACAGUAAGUGCUGUAGGUAUACAGUGUAUGUAUAUUAUCUUUAUAUAGCGCUAACAGGUGUACUCAGCACUUUACAGGUUACAUUACAGUAGAGGGAGGUACAGUAAAUGCAGUAGGUAUACAGUGUAUGUAUAUUUUAUUUAGCACUAAAAGGUGUACUCAGCACUUUACAGGUUACAUUACAGUAGAGGGAGGUACAGUAAGUGCAGUAGGUAUACAGUGUAUGUAUAUUUUAUUUAGCACUAAAAGGUGUACUCAGCACUUUACAGGUUAUAUUACAAUAGAGGGAGGUACAGUAAGUGCAGUAGGUAUACAGUGUAUGUAUAUUUUAUUUAUAUAGCACUAACAGGUGUACUCAGCACUUUACAGGUUACAUUACAGUAGAGGGAGGUACAGUAAGUGCAUUAGGUAUACAGUGUAUGUAUAUUUUAUUUA